AUUGAACGCUGGCGGCAUGCUUUACACAUGCAAGUCGAACGGUAACAGGUUAAGCUGACGAGUGGCGAACGGGUGAGUAAUGCAUCGGAACGUGCCCGAUCGUGGGGGAUAACGCAGCGAAAGCUGCGCUAAUACCGCAUACGAUCUGAGGAUGAAAGCGGGGGACCGUAAGGCCUCGCGCGAUCGGAGCGGCCGAUGUCAGAUUAGGUAGUUGGUGGGGUAAAGGCUCACCAAGCCAACGAUCUGUAGCUGGUCUGAGAGGACGACCAGCCACACUGGGACUGAGACACGGCCCAGACUCCUACGGGAGGCAGCAGUGGGGAAUUUUGGACAAUGGGCGAAAGCCUGAUCCAGCAAUGCCGCGUGCAGGAAGAAGGCCUUCGGGUUGUAAACUGCUUUUGUACGGAGCGAAAAGGCUCUCUCUAAUACAGGGGGCUCAUAACGGUACCGUAAGAAUAAGCACCGGCUAACUACGUGCCAGCAGCCGCAGUAA
rnacentral:rRNA from 1 species